UGCAUGCUCCUCUCAGAUUUGGCUGAACCAGAACUCCAUGCAGUAGUCUUCUUCACAACUGUGAAAGUGCCAUCUAUUUCUCCUGUGUUUAUUCCACUGUGGUUAGGUGAUGUCCGAUUUGUUGAAGUGAGAGAAGCACGUGGACCAUCAGCUCCAUAUUUGGAGUUUCAUCUUCUUCAGACCCCAAGCUCCACAAGAAGGAGAGAAAAGGCACAUGUUAUAUAUUGUUUGACCUCCCACGUGGUGGGACUUGCAGGCAGUUACUGCUCAGCAGCUACCUGGUAAGUG
rnacentral:lncRNA from 1 species